rnacentral:rRNA from 1 species
AACUGCGGAAGGAUCAUUGUU